rnacentral:lncRNA from 1 species
AUUUGCUCUUUUGCUAAAUUCUCCCUCUUGCCCUUUCCCAAUUCUGGUCACCUCACCCUCCCACGCUGUGUUAAUAUUGAGAAUUAUCCAAGAGGAAAGGUGGAAAUGAGACAAGAAUGGCCUCAGAGGUGCGCUGGCAGCUGAUUAGAUGGUGCCCAUCCAGAUUAAGGAUGCUCAUUCCAGAGGGGUCCUGCCCCAUACCCAAGAGGAAGGAAUGCUACCCAGAGAGGCCAAGAAGAAUCUGCAUAGACAAGCCUUGUGUGUUCCCCACUUAGUCUAUCACAAUUAGAUUCUUCUCUUUGUCCAGUCAUGUUUCUACCUGGUUGCCAUUCCUCAUUGAACCUAAACAUAAAAUCAGUUUCCCCUUGGUGUUUAGGUCUUCAUUUCUGAUGGCUCCUGUGUCCUGUAUAACUUUGAUUAAAU